GAGAGAUGACACAAGAACUGCUAAUUCCUGUACCUGAAGUUAAACCCUCAGCUCUCUCA
rnacentral:tRNA from 2 species